CAGUAGCCGCGGUAAUACGUAGGUGGCAAGCGUUGUCCGGAAUUAUUGGGCGUAAAGGGCUCGCAGGCGGUUUCUUAAGUCUGAUGUGAAAGCCCCCGGCUCAACCGGGGAGGGUCAUUGGAAACUGGGAAACUUGAGUGCAGAAGAGGAGAGUGGAAUUCCACGUGUAGCGGUGAAAUGCGUAGAGAUGUGGAGGAACACCAGUGACGAAGGCGACUCUCUGGUCUGUAACUGACGCUGAGGAGCGAAAGCGUGGGGAGCAAACAGGAUUAGAUACCCCUGUAGUCCCUGUCUCUUAUAC
rnacentral:rRNA from 1 species